rnacentral:piRNA from 1 species
UCCUUGUCUCGAUGAAACAAAAACGGAGAGG